rnacentral:rRNA from 1 species
CCUACGGGAGGCAGCAGUGGGGAAUAUUGCACAAUGGGGGAAACCUGAUGCAGCAAUGCCGCGUGGGUGAAGAAGCACUCCGGUGCGUAAAGCCCUGUCAGCAGGGAAGAAAAUGACAGUACCUGACCAAGAAGCGCCGGCUCACUACGGGCAAGCAGCCGCGGGAAUACGUAGGGGGCAAGCGUUAUCCGGAUUUAGUGGGUGUAAAGGGAGCGCAGGCGGUAUGGCAAGUCAGAUGUGAAAACCCAGGGCGUAACCCUGGGACUGCAUUUGAAACUGCCAUACUGGAGUGCCGUAGAGGUAAGUGGAAUUCCUAGUGUAGCGGUGAAAUGCGUAGAGAUUAGGAGGAACACCAGUGGCGAAGGCGGCUUACUGGACGGUAACUGACGCUGAGGCUCGAAAGCGUGGGGAGCAAACAGGAUUAGAUACCCUAGUAGUC